CUCGAACUUCGUCAAUUUUCGACCAACACCUCGCCACAACGACGCCACCGCCUGACUCAGCAAGCAACGAGGAGCAAAGCCCAGAAGUUUCGCCACCCACCGAAGCCGGAAAACGACGUACGAGUUUCGCCGGAACCCGGGGCCUUGCAUGUCGUCCUUUUUCAAUUUCCAACCAUGCCUGGGCUACCCGACCACCAUGGAUGUAGUAAGCGCCUAAAUGUCUAGAAUAGCCCCUCACCCAGACCUCUGAUUUCGACCGGAGCCACCCAGCACCGCCGUGAGAGCCACUGGCUUACCUUUUUUGUCUGGUUUGUGGAAUCUGGAAUAUUGAAGCUUUGGAGAAGAAAUGAGCUACUGGGUCAGUUUCGAAUCGAAAUAAGGAAUUCAGAUGGUUAGUGGAUUUGGAUUUCUGCGUUUUUGGAGUUUUGGAAGAGAGGAGCUGCUGGGCCAGUUAAGUUUAUGUUGAGGAAUGGGAA